UGCUUAAGCAGCCAAAGCCAAGAGGCUUCGGCACCGGGGGUCUGCGCUGGAGGGGCUCCUGGUCCUGCCCACGCUGGGGGGUAAAUCAGAGGGAUGCGGGGUUCCUCUUUUCCCCUCUGCUGGGAUGAACUGCCUGGGGAACGCCAUUUCUGCCAGCCCGGUCCUGCCCGUGUCUGCUGGAGAAGGCAAGAGGUCAGCAGGAAGAAGAGGAAAUGUGGUGCCAGACCUGUCUCAUCAGCUUGUGCUUCCCUCUGAGGACAGAGAGUCUCUGGGCAAGUGAGCCGGGGCUGGCACAAGGACUCGUGCAGGUACUGACCUGGCACCGGAGCCAUUGCCCUUUGGAGCCAUUUUAAAGUGAGAAGAACACAAACUCCCAGCCAUUCAGGCCUGACAGUUCCCUGCAGCGAGAGCUCAGCACACAUCCACAAAAGCAAG